UACUAGGGCCAGCCAAUAUAAAUGAAUAGUGAUUCCGACUCCAGAUGUCAAUUCAAAACCUGGCAGUUCAUGAGAAGACACCUCAGUGUCAACAGAUCAGCUCAUUUCUCUCACUCUUUUGCCUUUGGUGGCUGAAUUCAGUUUUAUAAAAAGAAAGAUGUCGCGACUCUUCCUGAAUUUCUUCCUGAUUGCUGUCUUGGCCUUUUGGUGGGUCCAGGGACGCAAAGCUGAAUCUCCUUUGAAAUUUGAUUUUCCAGCAAAACCAUUGCUGGAAAGGGAUGUAACCACAUCGGAAACACCAGAGACUGAGGUGCCACCUACUCCUUGCCAUGCAAUUGGUCCCUGGUUUGGAGAAGAAAUGUUCGAUGAGUUUUGUAACAUCAACUGUUUUCGAGAGGUGGAACCUUUCUGCCCUUUCUACUUAUGUGAUUGUGAGCAGGAAGACUGAGGCUUUGGCAUAGAUGGAAUGGGAUGCAAAAUUAAUCCAAUAUCAUGUUUGAAAUUCAGUUAAUACAUCAAAGGGAAUUUUGUUACACAGAAUGAUUGUCAAAUAUUUUAAGCUAUAUUGCUAUCUAAUUUGUUGAGUAUAGGUAGACUGCAAUGCUGAAAAUUUUAAAUGUUUUGCACAGAUGAGUGACGCAAAAAAAGUAAUAAUUAAACAAGAGUUGUAGAAUAUUUAGUUAAUAUCCAAUCUUGGUAAAGGUGGAUAUGUUCAAUCUUUAAUUAGCCAUUUACAAGAAAACCAGAUACAAGUUCUCUAAUUCAUUUUAGGAACCAAACAUUCCACCUAAAUGAGGCUAUGUAUCAAAAUUUUCUUGUUAAAUGGAUGAACAUUUCUCCGCCUUUUUGUUAAUUAUGUUUGCAAAUAAGCACAUUGUAUUCACAUUAAAAAUUGCUUUCGUUUGACGUAAUCUGAUGCGAUUCUUAUGCUAACAAAACAGUUUAUGAAUUGUAAUGGGAUUUCUACUGUUUAUCAUAUUUUAUCUACCUGAUUUUUCGUUAUUACUAAUGAUGAAAUAAUGUUAUUCAGUCAAUAAAGAGGAGAUGCACCA